GACGAACGCUGGCGGCGUGCUUAACACAUGCAAGUCGAGCGGAAAGGCCUCUUUCGGGGGGUACUCGAGUGGCGAACGGGUGAGUAACACGUGAGUAACCUGCCCUUGACUUUGGGAUAACUUCAGGAAACUGGGGCUAAUACCGGAUAGGAGCUCCUGCUGCAUGGUGGGGGUUGGAAAGUUUCGGCGGUUGGGGAUGGACUCGCGGCUUAUCAGCUUGUUGGUGGGGUAGUGGCUUACCAAGGCUUUGACGGGUAGCCGGCCUGAGAGGGUGACCGGCCACAUUGGGACUGAGAUACGGCCCAGACCCCUACGGGAGGCAGCAGUGGGGAAUAUUGCACAAUGGGUGGAAGCCUGAUGCAGCAAUGCCGGGUGCGGGAUGACGGCCUUCGGGUUGUAAACCGCUUUCGCUCAUGACGAAGCUUUGUGUGACGGUAGUGGGUAAAGAAGCACCGGCUAACUACGUG
rnacentral:rRNA from 1 species